rnacentral:rRNA from 1 species
AUUGAACGCUGGCGGCAGGCCUAACACAUGCAAGUCGAGCGGAUGAAGGGAGCUUGCUCCUGGAUUCAGCGGCGGACGGGUGAGUAAUGCCUAGGAAUCUGCCUGGUAGUGGGGGAUAACGUCCGGAAACGGGCGCUAAUACCGCAUAUGUCCUGAGGGAGAAAGUGGGGGAUCUUCGGACCUCACGCUAUCAGAUGAGCCUAGGUCGGAUUAGCUAGUUGGUGGGGUAAAGGCCUACCAAGGCGACGAUCCGUAACUGGUCUGAGAGGAUGAUCAGUCACACUGGAACUGAGACACGGUCCAGACUCCUACGGGAGGCAGCAGUGGGGAAUAUUGGACAAUGGGCGAAAGCCUGAUCCAGCCAUGCCGCGUGUGUGAAGAAGGUCUUCGGAUUGUAAAGCACUUUAAGUUGGGAGGAAGGGCAGUAAGUUAAUACCUUGCUGUUUUGACGUUACCAACAGAAUAAGCACCGGCCAACUUCGUG